CCUACGGGAGGCUGCAGUGGGGAAUAUUGGGCAAUGGACGCAAGUCUGACCCAGCAACGCCGCGUGAAGGAAGAAGGCUUUCGGGUUGUAAACUUCUUUUAAGGGGGAAGAGCAGAAGACGGUACCCCUUGAAUAAGCCACGGCUAACUACGUGCCAGCAGCCGCGGUAAUACGUAGGUGGCAAGCGUUAUCCGGAUUUAUUGGGUGUAAAGGGCGUGUAGGCGGGAAAGCAAGUCAGAUGUGAAAACUCAGGGCUCAACCCUGAGCCUGCAUUUGAAACUGUUUUUCUUGAGUGCUGGAGAGGCAAUCGGAAUUCCGUGUGUAGCGGUGAAAUGCGUAGAUAUACGGAGGAACACCAGUGGCGAAGGCGGAUUGCUGGACAGUAACUGACGCUGAGGCGCGAAAGCGUGGGGAGCAAACAGGAUUAGAUACCCGGGUAGUC
rnacentral:rRNA from 1 species